rnacentral:snoRNA from 1 species
CAGUCUCUUGCCUCGCUCAAUCCGCUGUUCCAUUUGGCGGAUUUCGAGCUGGAUACAUACAUGUUCACUCUCUCUCUCUAUCUUUCUUCGAAAAUAGAGACGUGUCAUGUGCGUACGAGACAAGACUAAAUGCGACGAUUUUUGAGUACGGAACCGCCUGAUUCCAUGUGUCGGACCUCCGUAAUUUAUCUGUCGGGACAUAC